rnacentral:misc_RNA from 1 species
UACAGAGGGUGCAAGCGUUAAUCGGAAUUACUGGGCGUAAAGGGUGCGUAGGUGGUUCGCUAAGUCAGAUGUGAAAGCCCGGGGCUCAACCUCGGAAUUGCAUUUGAUACUGGCGGACUAGAGUGUGGUAGAGGGUAGUGGAACUCCCGGUGUAGCGGUGAAAUGCGUAGAUAUCGGGAAGAACACCAGUGGCGAAGGCGGCUACCUGGACCAACACUGACACUGAGGCACGAAAGCGUGGGGAGCAAACAGG